rnacentral:hammerhead_ribozyme from 1 species
AUCCAGCUGAUGAGUCUCAAAUAGGACGAAAUCGCGUGUCCUGGAU